rnacentral:snoRNA from 1 species
UCAUCAGGAUGAAUUAUUUCUAUCAUAUGUUUUUUCUGGCAUCUCUAAUGUUAGAGCUUUUCCGCUCGAUGAAUACAACCUUGACAAUUAUCUGAUA